rnacentral:lncRNA from 1 species
GACUAGUACAUAAACUUGUGGGAAAAAAAUGAUACAUAUACAAUAAAGUAAUGUGAUUCUAGUCAUUUUACAAAUAUUUCAUGAUGAGUAAAAAUCUUUAAAAGUAAAAUUAUAAAAAAAAUAAUUUAUUUAGAAUCAAAGUAAUGUAAUUAAGUGUAAUUUACUUAAAUGUGAUUAAAAAAUAAUUGAAUAACUAUGUAUCGUAAAAGAUUGAUAUUAGUGAAGGAUAAAAUUAAAAUUUAUUUCUAUGUAUCGUUUUUGUCUCCAACGUUUUCGUCCUAUUUAAGUCCCUAACGUUUCAAAAUCGUCUCAAUUUUAUCCCGCCGUCAAUUCUGUUAACAGAUUCCUAACAGCAAGACAACAUUAAGUCAAUUUUGAAACGUUAAGGACUUAAAUAAAACGAUUUAAACGGACAACUUUAAAACUUACCCCAAACGUUGGGGACAAAAAGGAUAUUUUACUCAAUUAAUUAAUUAUCUUUGUUAAGAAGUAACUAUUAUCUUAAACUUCUUCUUGCUUACUGUUUUGCAUUAUCUAUUGCUUUGUUGUUCAUCCCUUCAUGUUUUUAGUGAUUUUCGCUAUGUUAAAUCUGCUUCCUUAUGAAAAAAUUGGAUUUGAUUGCGUAGAAAUCCACUCAAGACAAAAUUAGUAUUCACGAGGGCAAACUAUUGAAAAAGUCGUGCCAUAAGAUUUAUAGUGAUAAGAAUUUUAUCAAGUGAGAUAGACUUAAUUGCUAAAGAAGGCAAACGUUUUGCCAAUUGCUAUAUAGGGGACAAGCGGCAUUUAAUAAAACUUGAAAGAAAAUUUACCGAUUCUAACUAUGUUUAUUUCUGCUGCUGCGAUUUUACUUUAGAAGACUUCGAUUGCAAAGACGAUGAAUUAUUGGAAAAAGUAAUUGGAGACUUUUUAAUGGCAUUGCUCUCUCUCUUCCUAACUCAGAAAAGUUUUAUAGAGAGAUAACCAUGUAUAACCUUGUUAUCCAAAAUAAUAUUGGAUAUCUGCAUUAGGGAAUUAAAUGUCCAAAAUCAACACGAGAUGAAGAAUGAAAGAGAUUGCUUGAAAAAUGCAAUAAAACAGUAUUAUAUGAAGAACAAUAAGAGAGUACCUCGUAAACUUUAUCAUGUGUUCCAUUUAUGCAAAAAUACUAAUAUAAAAGUGUAAGUUUCUUAUUUUAUUUACUUUUGUUUCUUAUUUUAUAUGUUUUGUUUUCACAAAUAAUUUUUUUUGGGUUGUGAUUCAGGACUCAGUUUAAAGCAUCACUUAUAUCUACUAUGUGCAACGGGUAAAGAGAAAAGUCCCUUUAUCUAGUUACACACCGUAGAUACGGGUAAUAUUUAAGCUGAGUCUUAAAAUAAAUUAUUUGUGAAAACAAAACAUAUAAAAUAAGAAACAAAAGUAAAUAAAAUAAAAAACUUACGCUUUCAUAUUGAUAUUUUUGAAUAAACAAAACACAUGACCAAGUUUACGAGGUACUAGCUUGUUGUUCUUCAUAUAAUAUUGUUUUAUUGCAUUUUUCAAGCAGUCUCUGUCAUUCUUCAUCUCGUGUUGAUUUUGGACAUUCAAUCCCCCAUAUCCAACAUUAUCCUUGACAAUAAGGUUAUACAUGGUUAUCUCUCCAUGAAAUUUUCCUGAGUUAUGGAGAGAGAACAAUAUCAUUAAAAAGUCUUCAAUUACUUUUCUCAAUAAUUCAUCAUCUUUGCAAUCGAAGUCUUCUAAAGUAGAAUCACAGUGCUCGCAGCAGAAAUAAACAUAGUUAGAAUCCGUAAGUUUUCUUCCAAGCUUCCGCUUAUUCCCUAUAUAGCAAUUUGACAAAAUGUUUGCCCUUUUUAGCAAUUAAGUCUACCUCAUUUGAUAAAAUCCUUAUCACGGUAAAUCUUAUGGCACGAUGUUUUUCAAUAAUUUACACUUGUGGAUACUAAUUUUGUCUUCAGUGGAUUUCUACGCAAUCAAAUCCAAUUUAAUUUCUUGGACUGUCCGGAUCUCAGGCAUAGUUGACCACUGUUUAGUUUGGAUAAAAAUUUCAAAAGUUCAACUGAAACUAAAUUAUUAUAACAAAAUCAUAAGCAAGCACUAAAAACAGAUUUAACAUAGAGAAAAUCACUAAAAACACGAAGGAGUGAACAGCUCUGUUAAUUUAGUAAUUAAUCUAUUUAACAAAUUUAAAAUAACAAAGCAAUAGAUAAUGCAAAACAGUAAACAAGAAGACAAGAAUUAAACAAGCUAACAAACAGACAAAGUGCUGCAAAUCACCAAGGACAUCAGAAACAGCAUCAAGACUUUUUAACAAAGAUAAUUAAUUAAUCUAACUCCAAAACAGCAAUUCAGCACACAUUAUAAUUAAUCUAACUCCAAACACACAAAAUCAAUUCUAUAUUCUAUCAGACCUUCAAAUGCACAAAAUUAUUAUGUCAAAAGAAAAAAACCAAAGUCAAAAGAGACGAAAAGUGGACGAACCUGUGAAGCUAAAAGCGGUGAGGAUGGACGGCUAUGGAUGACGAGAGGCAGAGGCUGAGAAGCGAGAUGGACAGAGACACAAACAAAGGACAGCCGAGGUGAUGCAAAGGCACACUGACAGAAUGACAGCUGACAGGGGUGCGGAGAGAGACGACGACUCGGCGAGUGGCUGGAUGCGAAGGGAGACAGAUGUCAACGAAGCUGGACGCGAGGCUGACUGGCAGCGAGGGAGCGAGGCUGAAGGGCGGCGAGGAAGCGAGGCCGGAGGCAGGAUGGCAGCAGCAGUGGAUUGAGAAAUGGAAAAGGUGUUAACUGUUUGGUGCAUGUGUUAAAAGUGUGCUCUGCUUACGGAACUUGGUGGUGAGGCAUUGAAGCUUACUCCAUGCUUGUAUUCACUUGCAGUCAUGCUUAUUCUGCUGCCUACAAAAGGAAGAGGAAAAAACUCUAAACGAUCUCACAAUUACAUGAAAAAGACAAUUAGACCCCAUUAAAAAUAAAAUCUCUUUCCGGCCUUUUAUAAUUAAUUUCGUGGGACUGAUUAAUUCUUUUAUCAAUAAUUUCUCUCUGGGAUUAACAGAGCAUAUCUAUGUGGCACGUUAUCGUUAAGUGCCAACUUAGAAUGUCAGAUAUUAAGCUCACCCAACCCAACCCCUAUUAAUUACACUAAAACUACGUCGUUUAGCAGAUUGGGAGAGAGUAUAUAACCAACCAAGAUUGCAAGAACUGAACCGAUCAAUGAAUUGGUAAAGUGACCGGUUCAAUAGUUAAAAGAUUCAACCAGAGUUCAACUGGUUCAAUUAAAUAUUUAAUAAAAUUAUAAAAAAUUUAAUAUAUAAUUUGAAUAUUUAAAUUCAAUGAUUUCUAAACUGACAAUAAUUUAAAAUUUUAUAAUUUUACAUAAUAAAUUAUCCAUAAUUUAUCAUUAAAAGUUUACAAACAACUUCACACAUCAACAUUUCUAGCUAACAAAAAUCUAAAUACAUGCAAAUGACAAAAACAUAAUGUUCUACCACCAUUCCAGUUUCAUAAAAGUUAUAAAUACAAAAAAAAAAUUAACAAAAGAAUCAGAAAAAUCAGCAAAGAGAAUCAACAGUUCAGAAUUAAAAAAUUAGCAUAAAUGACUCAGAAUUAGAAAAAUUCCAGCAUAAACAACUCAGACUCAAAACCAUAGCAUAAACAACUAAUCAGAAAAAUUCUAGCACAGUGAAGCCCUGCACCAUAACACCAUCAACAACUCAAAAUCAGAAAAAUCAGCAACCAGAAUAGACAACUCAGAAUAAAAAAAAUCAGCAUAAACAAUUCAGAAUCAAAUAAAUCAGCAUAAACAACUCAGAAUCAGAAAAAUUCCAGCAUAAAUAAUGUAGUGAAGCACUGAACUAUAGCACCAUCAAAACUCAAAAUCAGCCACUAGCAACUCAAAAAUCAAAAUAAAUAAAAUUAACAAAAUAACCAAAAUAAAUUGAGGCACCCGUGCUUACCGGCAACGAGGGAGGAAGGAAGGUGACGGUGCGGCAAAUACUCCACAGCCGAGCAGAGAGAGACGUCACAGUGAGAGAGAGAGCGCUCGAAGAGAGACGUUGAGCUUGGAUUCUCGGACAGAGAGAGAGAGAACUCGAAGAAGGAGAGACGGGCAUAUAGAGCAGAGAUAACAACAGAGCAGCCCUCUGUGGUGGCAACGCCAACAGUUUCGAGCAGGCCUUCGUGCGACGGCGAGGAGAAGCGAGCAGAACUUCCAUGGGCAACGACGGCACCACGGUCUGUCCCCACAGGCGGCGAAGCACCCUCUACUAGAGGAAAAUAAUAAAUUAUAAAUAAAUUAAAAAUAGCAGCAGCAUUCAGCAACAAACAUUACAGAACAUUAACCAGUAAUCACACUAAAAAGGUGACACUAAAUUAUAAAAUAGCAAUUACAAAACACUGAAAACAGUGACACUAGUACAUUAUAAAACAUAUCAAAACAGUGAUGACACUUAAUUAACCAGAGCAUUAGCAAGGAAGAAGAAGAACAUUAGCAACACAACCACCACCAUUAACAUGGCGAUUCCUGUGGUAAAGGUGGAGGAGAUUGUGCGAUGUUGCCCGAGGGAUCUCAUUCAGCAACAUCUCAAGCUCCUCAAGGUCACCAACAUCUUUCACAUUCUCAGUCAUUUCUUUACCCAUCUCAACAUAUUCACACACCAAUGAACCACACAAAGAACUGAAAGAACAAACGCAGAGAAAAAAGAAAACAAAAGAGAACACAAAAGGAAAAACUCACACAAAGCAAUCAGAGGAGUCCAAGAAUCAGAGAACCCUUUUCAGAUAUCGAUUCAAAGAAGAUGUUAAAAGGAAGAAGAAAAGCACGGCCGCUCACCUUCGACGGAGACACGGAUGGCAACCGGCGAGACGACGGCGAGAGGCGAGACGAUGGCGAGAGGCGAGACGACGGCAAACUGCGAGCUGCUCCAAGCCACGAACCGAGAAACCAGUGGACGACGUGCCGAGCUACCUCGGUUCCAGACAGGGGGAAGAGGAGGAAGCGGAGGCACCGAGAACCUGGGGACGGCGGCAGCAAGGAACCUGCGGCUAGGGUUUUGCCGUUUUGAUUUGGUACUCUCACUUUGCUUCAAAGGGAUUUGCAGUUUUGCAUGAAUGAUUGGGGAAGGGGGGGUUCUUGAAACUCGAAAGCAUAGUUAUCAGAACCGAACCGGCAAUCAAUCCGGUCAUAUGACCGGGUCACCGGAUUACUGGUUCAACUAGUGGGUCACUGAUUCACCCGGUUGACCCAGUCAUAAUUAAAAAAAAUAUAAAAUUAUAUAAAUGAAAUUAAAAUUAUGUAUUAAAAAUUAAAAUAUAAGUUUUUACAAACAUAAUAAUAAUAAUCAAAUAUUAAUUUUUAAACAUAACUAAAGAUGUAAAAAGAGAUAAUAAACUAAUUUCUAGUAUAAAUUUAGAGCAUCAGAAACAGAUUUGGAGUUUCAUAUAUAUCUUUAAUUCUUUAUAGGACAAAUUUAGAGCUUGAUUAAUAUUUUUCUCAUUUUAAUUUGCAUCUAUAUCUUCUAUAAGAAACAUUGCAUUAUGCAGAACAUCAGAAAUAGAGAAAGAAGAGUUUGAAGAGAGAGCUUCAAGAAACUAGUGAACUGAAUUAACUUCAUCUUAUUCUUCUACCAAUGAAUCAAUUAUACAUACUUCUUAGAGGGAUGCUAGAGCUCUAUUUAUAACAAAGUUAGAAAAGAGAAAAAGAUCAGAGAUCAGAACAAAUUCAACACAACAACAACAAGGAUCAGUAAGAAAUUCAACUCAACUCAAUUAUCCAGCAACAAAUUCUACUUCCAGCAACAACCACAUUUAUGAUAUGUUCAGCAUCAAAUUCAACUUACAGCUGACAACAAAUUCUACUUCUAGAGUUCUGGCAACAAAUUCAGGUAUGAUAACUAUUGAUAACUUUCAGGCAGCAACAAAAAACUUAAACUAUGAUAACUUUCAGGUAGCAACAAAAAAAAAACUCCAAUUCUCCAAAUAUGAUUCACAGCAAAUUAACAUUAGCUAAAUCAUAAUUUCAGCAACAAACUCAACUUUGAACAAUAAAUUCAAGAUGUACUAAUAAUUUACAGCAAUAAAAUUGAAAGAGGAAUAACAGGGCUGAAGCUGAAACUCACAUAGGCAGAGAGACGAAGCAAGCGUUGACAGAAGACCCGGGCCGAAGCUGAAACCCUAAACCCAGACUCAGGGCCAAGGAAGCGUUGAUGGCCGAAGCAGGAAGGUGAGCUUACGAACUAUGACAGAGCGCGACAGAGCUUGAGAGGCGACGAGCUUGAGAGGCGACGAGCUUGAGGCGGCGACACGAGCUUGAGGCAUCGACGAGAUUGAGGCGGUGACGCGAGCUUGAGGAGGUGACGCGAGCUUGGGGCAGCGACGAGCUUGAGGCGGCGACGAGCUUGAGGGAGAGAGUGGCGAGAGAAGAGAGAGGUGAGAUGGGUUCUGAAUUCUGAUUUUGCGUUAGGGCACCACACAAAGGGGGCAAACGAGGGAGAGAACAAAGAACGAC